rnacentral:lncRNA from 1 species
UUUACUAUCAUUUAUUUCAUGUUUAUCUCUCAAAAUCAGUUCACUUAUCUACUUCCUCGACCAUUCUCAAUCUUGCAUAAACAUUCUCUGCAAAGCUUUUUUUUCCUAACAACUCACCCCCAAAAUUUAGCCAACUCAAAUACUCUCUUGCUUUUGUAAAUUUCCAGCUUGUUCUUCUCCAAAUCGGUAAGUUUAUUUCCCCAAAUUUCAAUUCAUAAAGAACUUCUGAAACUCUGUCAAUUUCUAAAAUCUCAGCAACGAAAACAUUCAGCCUCUUGCAUCCAAGAAAUCACACACACCAAAGCAUAAUCAUUCUAUUUUCUGCAAUACUCCAACACUUUUACUGUUUUACAUGAAAAAUCAAAAGAAAAUGAAAGAAUUAAAAGAAUAAUAGUAAGAAAUUAGAAGAAAAGAAAAGGAAAUGAAUGGAAGAAUUGUUGGUGAAGAUUGUUGUUGCCGGAGAGGUGAAAGGGGGAGGCAGCCUGACCGGCUGCUGCUGUCUGUCGAGGGGCGGCAAGGGCCGCUGCUGUCGGCCAAAGGAGAGAGAGAGGCAGGGGCAGUGGUGGCGCUGGCAGGCGGCGAAGGUCGCCGCCGGAGAAAUGAGUGGCCGCGGCUGGGCGCGGUGAGGAGAGGGACAGAGGGAGGCGGGAGAUGAGGGAGGGAAGUCGACGGAGAGGGAGAGAUGAGGGAAGAGGGAGAGAGGUUGAGGAGAGGACAGGGGAGCCAGAGCCGCCGGCCUCCGGCGGCGGCGUGCCGUCUGGUGGCGGCGGCAGGAGGCCGAGAAGAGGAGAGGGAGGAGGGCUGAGAGAGGGUGAGCUGCGUGAGAUGUGUGUGU